rnacentral:sRNA from 1 species
AUCCUGAGUUUUCGAAUCUACGCCAUAUAGAAUCAAGAAAAAAAUGUCUCACCUAAGCCCCCCACAACAUACCCAACAAAAUAUGACAGAGAAGGGAAAGACAGUACGUCCAGGAGGGGGUAGAGGCGGCGGUGGAGGCGGCGGUAGAGGCGGUGGUGGAGGCGGUGGUGGAGGCGGGGGUCAGCAACACCUAUCACCCCCACCACAACAACAACAGAAUAUGACACAGAAAGGGAAGACAGUAAAACCUAAAUGACACGGAUGAUGCACUUUUACUUAUGAGUAUGGACAUUCCAGAAAGUUUGCCUGCCUUUAUAUUUGCUCUUAAAACCAGUCAAAAAUAAUGAAAAUUUAAUAAUUUAUACAUAAAUAUAACUUCUUACGAUUCUGUUCAAAGUAAUAAAAGCAGAACUAAACCCU